CCUACGGGAGGCAGCAGUGGGGGAUAUUGCACAAUGGGGGAAACCCUGAUGCAGCGACGCCGCGUGUGGGAAGACGGUCCUCUGGAUUGUAAACCACUGUCCCCAGGGACGAAGAUGACGGUACCUGAUUAAGAAGCCCCGGCUAACUACGUGCCAGCAGCCGCGGUAAUACGUAGGGGGCAAGCGUUAUCCGGAUUUACUGGGUGUAAAGGGAGCGCAGACGGCAGUGCAAGUCUGGAGUGAAAGCCCGGGGCCCAACCCCGGAACUGCUCUGGAAACUGUGCGGCUAGAGUACUGGAGGGGCAGGCGGAAUUCCUAGUGUAGCGGUGAAAUGCGUAGAUAUUAGGAGGAACACCAGUGGCGAAGGCGGCCUGCUGGACAGUAACUGACGUUGAGGCUCGAAAGCGUGGGGAGCAAACAGGAUUAGAUACCCUUGUAGUC
rnacentral:rRNA from 1 species